GGUUCAUCCAUAGCUGUGCUGGUGCAGCACAGAGAAGGUCUGUCUACGCAAUGAACCUACUCAAGACUUCACCGACUGGCGAGGUGAUGAAAACAAGAAUCUUCAGUCCCUGCUGUCCCUAAGGCCCUACCUCAGUUCCUCCAAGAUAACUCCGCAUACAGGACACUCUUUACUCUCCCGAAUGUCAUCUAGCAAGCCCCGGCAUACCUGUCUGGAACUGAGCAUCCGGAACCACUUGUGUGCAUCACAUGCAAUUUCCAGCUGUUGUGGGAAAGCAAUGAAUGAAGAGAAAGUACUAGGCCCUGACAAGGCUUAGCAUCUAGGGGAGAAGAGGGAGAAGUAGGGAGAAGAUCCUAAAGGUCAAAUGCAAUGUCUCCCAUUGUUCAUGUACCUUUUCAAAAAGAGACAAUUCCAUUUGAUCCACUAAUACAGUGGUUCUCAAUCUUCCUAAUGCCGAGACCCUUUAAUACAGUUCUUCAUCUUGUGGUGAC